rnacentral:rRNA from 1 species
GAUGAACGCUGGCGGCGUGCCUAAUACAUGCGAGUCGAGCGAACGGACGAGAAGCUUGCUUCUCUGAUGUUAGCGGCGGACGGGUGAGUAACACGUGGAUAACCUACCUAUAAGACUGGGAUAACUUCGGGAAACCGGAGCUAAUACCGGAUAAUAUUUUGAACCGCAUGGUUCAAAAGUGAAAGACGGUCUUGCUGUCACUUAUAGAUGGAUCCGCGCUGCAUUAGCUAGUUGGUAAGGUAACGGCUUACCAAGGCAACGAUGCAUAGCCGACCUGAGAGGGUGAUCGGCCACACUGGAACUGAGACACGGUCCAGACUCCUACGGGAGGCAGCAGUAGGGAAUCUUCCGCAAUGGGCGAAAGCCUGACGGAGCAACGCCGCGUGAGUGAUUAAGGUCUUCGGAUCGUAAAACUCUGUUAUUAGGGAAGAACAUAUGUGUAAGUAACUGUGCACAUCUUGACGGUACCUAAUCAGAAAGCCACGGCUAACUACGUG